UACGUAGGCAGCAAGCGUUGUUCGGAGUUACUGGGCGUAAAGGGUGCGUAGGCGGUUGUUUAAGUUUGGUGUGAAAUCUCCAGGCUCAACUGGGAGGGUGCGCCGAAUACUGAAUGACUAGAGUGCGGGAGAGGAGAGUGGAAUUCCUGGUGUAGCGGUGAAAUGCGUAGAUAUCAGGAGGAACACCGGUGGUGUAGACGGCUCUCUGGACCGUAACUGACGCUGAGGCACGAAAGCGUGGGUAGCAAACAGG
rnacentral:rRNA from 1 species